GUGCUUGUUUGGACAGCUCGGAUCCUAACACUGGAAUGACACAUGGAAGACGGCACGGCCCCCAAGGGUGACACGCAAAUUGCUGAAGCAUUUCACAUUUUU
ensembl:snRNA U6 U6 spliceosomal RNA